CAAUAGUGUAUAUUAUUGUUGCUGUAGUUAAAAAGCUCGUAGUUGGAUUUCGGAAUGCGGCGGCCAAAGCCCGUCUAAAUGGCGUGGCUCGGCGGCUGCUUCCUGUCUUUGGGUAAUGGAACCCGCUCCGGCGGGAGCUCCGUUCCUAAUCGUUUACUUUGAAAAAUUAGAGCGUUCAAAGCAGGUGUAACUGCCUUGAAUAGUUUAGCAUGGGAUAAUAGAAUAGGACCACCGGUUUUAUUUUAUUGGUUUCUAAAGCUGGGGUAAUGAUUAAUAGGGACAGUUGGGGUCGGUCGUAUUGAAUCGUCAGAGGUGAAAUUCUAGGAUUGAUUCAAGACGAACAGGUGCGAAAGCGUCCGACAAGGAUGUUUCCGUUAA
rnacentral:rRNA from 1 species